GUUCGACUGUAAAAAGGAAGAACCUCUCUCCAGCUCAGACAGACCGGCCCGAGUGUUCCCAGCGUGAACACCUCCACUCUUCUCUCCACAUUUUUCCCUGCACCACGCCGUCUGCGUGGCUGCCAUCUUUAAAAUAAAUUCUACGACCUAAAUUAAGUUCCUAAAAUUCAUUUUGUAAGAGUAAUAAUUGCUAAUGUGAGUAGUAAAGAUUCUGAAACUCUUGUCAAGUGAAAAUUACGAAGUAUACCGUUAUUGGACAGGUUAUUCGGGUCAUUUUUCAUAAAAACUCGUACAUUGAAUCGUGCCAGGUGCAGUUUAGUAUAGAAACGGUGCAUAAGUGGUAAUCGGAGUAAAAACAAGACAGUAUUUCUAAUUGCCAAGCGAGAGACAAUUCAUCCUCCUCCCCGUGCGUCGUAGCUCCCAUCCGGCUACCCCCCUGUGGCCAGUGAAGGUGUCCCGUGAUCAGAAGCGUGUCGCAUCCGUCCCCCAAGGACCCUGACGUCCGGUACUCGAUGAAACUCGCCCAUAUUCCCCUACCGAGCCCACGGCGACAUCAUCUCUCCGCCCACAUUUAUCAUGUUGGCGAUGAUAAGGUCUCUUUUUCAUGGAAAAUACGGUAAACAUUUAGAACCCCAUCAACCUUCGCGAUAAGAAGAGGUCCUUAUUUUUUGGCUUAAAAAGUACCCACCGAAAAUUGACAAAUUUGCCGAAAAUUGUUUGUCAUCAUACUUCAGAAACUGGAGGACAGGUGAGCAGCCCCGAGUGCAAAGCAACAAUUGUCGUCAAAAAUUCCUUCAACAAUUCCAACCACUUAAAUCUUACGGAUUCUCAGAACUUGACAUCAUUGAGCUAUUCGAUCAAAAUAAAGACAUCGAAGAACUGCGAGUUUGGAUUGGAACGAAUGCGGAAAUCGUGGCCGGGUUGAACACACAAAUCGUCCCACUUUUGCAUCACGAUCAACACGAGGCAGAAAUUCGCAUGAAUGCAAUCGAUUACAAGUUGGCACUCAAAAUGUCCCUUCAAGAAGACGAAGAUGAUGCAUCCUAAAUUGUCAGUCGUAUCUAAAUCUUCGCUAAUAUUUAGUUAAUUAAUUAAACUAAGUGAUUAAUUAAAACCAUAAUUCUACUCAUGCAAAAGUUCAUCUGUCGACAAGAAUUUGAGUACAAUUUUGCAAAGUAUGUGCGAAAUCUUAAUUAAUCACAGCUAUAAUUUUACUCGAGUUCGUCCUAUAAAUUUAUGUGCUUAAAGCCAUGCCAUCCCCAUCUUCAAUAAUUUUUUAUUAAGUAUUUAAUUUACGUACAAUUUUGCAUAAUAUGAAUAUGUAAAAUCUUAAUUAAUUAAUUAUUGCGACAAUUUUACUCGCGUUAAUCUCAUGAACUUAAAUCUUCAUCUUUACCAAUAUUUCGUUAAUUAAAUUAACUAAUUAUAACGAUAAUUUCAUUUCUUUAAUAAGGGUUCAUCUCAUCAAUUGCUUGAUGAAGGGGCAAUUUUUUUACUAAAUGCGUAUCAUCUUGUAUACUUACUUAAUUGUAUCAUGCGCGUUAAUAAUAAACAAAUGCAAAAGCUCAGUUAUGCAAAUUUUGUAUAAAUUUUCUUCGCGAGAAGUGGUAUUUUUUAUUAAA